AUUGAACGCUGGCGGCAGGCCUAACACAUGCAAGUCGAACGGUAACAGGAAACAACUUGCUGUUUCGCUGACGAGUGGCGGACGGGUGAGUAAUGUCUGGGAAACUGCCUGAUGGAGGGGGAUAACUACUGGAAACGGUAGCUAAUACCGCAUAACGUCGCAAGACCAAAGAGGGGGACCUUCGGGCCUCUUGCCAUCGGAUGUGCCCAGAUGGGAUUAGCUAGUAGGUGGGGUAACGGCUCACCUAGGCGACGAUCCCUAGCUGGUCUGAGAGGAUGACCAGCCACACUGGAACUGAGACACGGUCCAGACUCCUACGGGAGGCAGCAGUGGGGAAUAUUGCACAAUGGGCGCAAGCCUGAUGCAGCCAUGCCGCGUGUAUGAAGAAGGCCUUCGGGUUGUAAAGUACUUUCAGCGAGGAGGAAGGGAGUAAAGUUAAUACCUUUGCUCAUUGACGUUACCCGCAGAAGAAGCACCGGCUAACUCCGUGCCAGCCGCCGCCGUAA
rnacentral:rRNA from 1 species